rnacentral:rRNA from 1 species
GACGAACGCUGGCGGCGUGCUUAACACAUGCAAGUCGAACGGAAAGGCCCUGCUUUUGUGGGGUGCUCGAGUGGCGAACGGGUGAGUAACACGUGAGUAACCUGCCCUUGACUUUGGGAUAACUUCAGGAAACUGGGGCUAAUACCGGAUAGGAGCUCCUGCUGCAUGGUGGGGGUUGGAAAGUUUCGGCGGUUGGGGAUGGACUCGCGGCUUAUCAGCUUGUUGGUGGGGUAGUGGCUUACCAAGGCUUUGACGGGUAGCCGGCCUGAGAGGGUGACCGGCCACAUUGGGACUGAGAUACGGCCCAGACUCCUACGGGAGGCAGCAGUGGGGAAUAUUGCACAAUGGGCGGAAGCCUGAUGCAGCAACGCCGCGUGCGGGAUGACGGCCUCCGGGUUGUAAACCGCUUUCGCCUGUGACGAAGCGUGAGUGACGGUAAUGGGUAAAGAAGCACCAGCUAACUACGUG